GAGUUUGAUCGUGGCUCAGAACGAACGCUGGCGGCAUGCCUAACACAUGCAAGUCGAACGAGACCUUCGGGUCUAGUGGCGCACGGGUGCGUAACGCGUGGGAAUCUGCCCUUGGGUUCGGAAUAACAGUUAGAAAUGACUGCUAAUACCGGAUGAUGACUUCGGUCCAAAGAUUUAUCGCCCAAGGAUGAGCCCGCGUCGGAUUAGCUUGUUGGUGAGGUAAAAGCUCACCAAGGCGACGAUCCGUAGCUGGUCUGAGAGGAUGAUCAGCCACACUGGGACUGAGACACGGCCCAGACUCCUACGGGAGGCAGCAGUGGGGAAUAUUGGACAAUGGGUGAAAGCCUGAUCCAGCAAUGCCGCGUGAGUGAUGAAGGCCUUAGGGUUGUAAAGCUCUUUUACCCGGGAUGAUAAUGACAGUACCGGGAGAAUAAGCCCCGGCUAACUCCGUGCCAGCAGCCGCAGUAAC
rnacentral:rRNA from 1 species